CGGAGGGUGCAAGCGUUAUCCGGAAUCAUUGGGUUUAAAGGGUCCGCAGGCGGACUUAUAAGUCAGUGGUGAAAGCCUACAGCUUAACUGUAGAACUGCCAUUGAUACUGUAAGUCUUGAAUUCGGUCGAAGUGGGCGGAAUAUGACAUGUAGCGGUGAAAUGCUUAGAUAUGUCAUAGAACACCGAUAGCGAAGGCAGCUCACUAGGCCUGGAUUGACGCUCAUGGACGAAAGCGUGGGGAGCAAACAGGAUUAGAUACCCUGGUAGUCCACGCCGUAAACUAUCAAUACUCGUUCUCGGCGAUAUACAGUCGGGGACUAAGCGAAAGUGAUAAGUAUUGCACCUGGGGAUACGAUCGCAAGGUUG
rnacentral:rRNA from 1 species